CAGGGCGCAGAGGAGGACGGAGAGGACCAUCACCACGUUGGAGUCAAAUGUGUUGUCGGUUUCAGUGGCUGCGGUGGCUACGGGAGGAGAGACGGCGGCGGCGGUAGAGGAGGACGGUGGAGAGCGGUGGUGGAAUAGGGAGUUGAGGAGGAGGAGUCUUCUAGCGGCCAUUUGGUUGAUUAGUGGGUUUGAUUAAUGGGUUUAAAUUUAAUUAAAGAUUGGGGUUUGGGUUU
rnacentral:lncRNA from 1 species